rnacentral:rRNA from 1 species
GACGAGCCACACGAACGUUAUUCGGAAUUACUGGGCUUAAAGGGUGCGUAGGCUGCGCGGAAAGUUGGGUGUGAAAUCCCUCGGCUCAACCGAGGAACUGCGCCCAAAACUGCCGUGCUCGAGGAAGAUAGAGGUAAGCGGAACUUACGGUGGAGCGGUGAAAUGCGUUGAUAUCGUAAGGAAGACCAGUGGCGAAGGCGAGUCUCUGGACAGUUACUGACGCUGAGGCACGAAGGCUAGGGGAGCAAACGGG